CUGUGAGCUCGAUGAGUAGGGCGGGACACGUGGUAUCCUGUCUGAAUAUGGGGGGACCAUCCUCCAAGGCUAAAUACUCCUGACUGACCGAUAGUGAACCAGUACCGUGAGGGAAAGGCGAAAAGAACCCCGGCGAGGGGAGUGAAAAAGAACCUGAAACCGUGUACGUACAAGCAGUGGGAGCACGCUUAGGCGUGUGACUGCGUACCUUUUGUAUAAUGGGUCAGCGACUUAUAUUCUGUAGCAAGGUUAACCGAAUAGGGGAGCCGAAGGGAAACCGAGUCUUAACUGGGCGUUAAGUUGCAGGGUAUAGACCCGAAACCCGGUGAUCUAGCCAUGGGCAGGUUGAAGGUUGGGUAACACUAACUGGAGGACCGAACCGACUAAUGUUGAAAAAUUAGCGGAUGACUUGUGGCUGGGGGUGAAAGGCCAAUCAAACCGGGAGAUAGCUGGUUCUCCCCGAAAGCUAUUUAGGUAGCGCCUCGUGAAUUCAUCUCCGGGGGUAGAGCACUGUUUCGGCAAGGGGGUCAUCCCGACUUACCAACCCGAUGCAAACUGCGAAUACCGGAGAAUGUUAUCACGGGAGACACACGGCGGGUGCUAACGUCCGUCGUGAAGAGGGAAACAACCCAGACCGCCAGCUAAGGUCCCAAAGUCAUGGUUAAGUGGGAAACGAUGUGGGAAGGCCCAGACAGCCAGGAUGUUGGCUUAGAAGCAGCCAUCAUUUAAAGAAAGCGUAAUAGCUCACUGGUCGAGUCGGCCUGCGCGGAAGAUGUAACGGGGCUAAACCAUGCACCGAAGCUGCGGCAGCGACGCUUAUGCGUUGUUGGGUAGGGGAGCGUUCUGUAAGCCUGCGAAGGUGUGCUGUGAGGCAUGCUGGAGGUAUCAGAAGUGCGAAUGCUGACAUAAGUAACGAUAAAGCGGGUGAAAAGCCCGCUCGCCGGAAGACCAAGGGUUCCUGUCCAACGUUAAUCGGGGCAGGGUGAGUCGACCCCUAAGGCGAGGCCGAAAGGCGUAGUCGAUGGGAAACAGGUUAAUAUUCCUGUACUUGGUGUUACUGCGAAGGGGGGACGGAGAAGGCUAUGUUGGCCGGGCGACGGUUGUCCCGGUUUAAGCGUGUAGGCUGGUUUUCCAGGCAAAUCCGGAAAAUCAAGGCUGAGGCGUGAUGACGAGGCACUACGGUGCUGAAGCAACAAAUGCCCUGCUUCCAGGAAAAGCCUCUAAGCAUCAGGUAACAUCAAAUCGUACCCCAAACCGACACAGGUGGUCAGGUAGAGAAUACCAAGGCGCUUGAGAGAACUCGGGUGAAGGAACUAGGCAAAAUGGUGCCGUAACUUCGGGAGAAGGCACGCUGAUAUGUAGGUGAAGUCCCUCGCGGAUGGAGCUGAAAUCAGUCGAAGAUACCAGCUGGCUGCAACUGUUUAUUAAAAACACAGCACUGUGCAAACACGAAAGUGGACGUAUACGGUGUGACGCCUGCCCGGUGCCGGAAGGUUAAUUGAUGGGGUCAGCGCAAGCGAAGCUCUUGAUCGAAGCCCCGGUAAACGGCGGCCGUAACUAUAACGGUCCUAAGGUAGCGAAAUUCCUUGUCGGGUAAGUUCCGACCUGCACGAAUGGCGUAAUGAUGGCCAGGCUGUCUCCACCCGAGACUCAGUGAAAUUGAACUCGCUGUGAAGAUGCAGUGUACCCGCGGCAAGACGGAAAGACCCCGUGAACCUUUACUAUAGCUUGACACUGAACAUUGAGCCUUGAUGUGUAGGAUAGGUGGGAGGCUUUGAAGUGUGGACGCCAGUCUGCAUGGAGCCGACCUUGAAAUACCACCCUUUAAUGUUUGAUGUUCUAACGUUGACCCGU
rnacentral:rRNA from 1 species